CCUACCCCGGGGUCCGGGCGCGGGCAGGGAGGCCAGGUCUACCCCGGGGCAGGGAGGCCAGGCCUACCCCGGCGUCCGAGUGCGGGCAGGGAGGCCAGGUCUACCCGGGGUCGGGGCAGGGAGGCCAGGUCUACCCCGGGGUCCGGGCGCGGGCAGGGAGGCCAGGCCUACCCCGGCGUCCGAGUGCGGGCAGGGAGGCCAGGUCUACCCGGGGUCGGGGCAGGGAGGCGAGGUCUACCCCGGGGUCCGGGCGCGGGUGCUUGCGGCGGGG